AGAUGUCAAUGUUAUUAAUCAUAAUCUAAUUGGUGAAAUGCUCCAGAAUUUUGAUUAUAUCGUUAGGAAUUCAGAUUAUUAUAAUUUGGAUCACAAUAGGACUUUUCAAGAAACAAUUAAUGAAUUGGUCGAAGAAUUGAAUUUGAUCAAUACGACUUCAGAUAAUAGUGG